rnacentral:lncRNA from 1 species
CCUUGUAGUCUGAUAGCAGGAGCAAGAGGAACAAUAACAUACUCUCCUAUGACAAGUCAAGGAGGGAACAAACAGUAAAGCCAGCAGGCAUCAAGGGAGCAGGCAGUCUCCUCAAUGCCCAGAGUGGCACUAGUAACCACCCCAGGAGUGAGUCACUGGCAUGGGGGAGGGCUGAGGAAAGGCUGCAGCUCUCGCGCACGCUGGGCUGGUAAACAACCCCAAAGGAUCAGAGCCAAACCAGGAAAUGCCAGAAUAUCAACCUGUGGUUUCGGGGUGGAUGCCUGGGCCCCACCACAGGGCUGCUACAGGGGUAGUGUCUGGAGAUAGAAUCCAGAAGGUUCCAUUUUAAGCAAGGUUUGAGAAGAUCUUUGUUUUUUAAAUCAGUAGAACCCAAGGACAAGCAACGGAGCACCUUGGGCUGGACUCUUAAGUUGGGAGACUUUGGAGCCACAGUCUAGCCUCGCUCUCAAGAGGAAGACCAGCUAGGGGUCAAGGGAAGACCCCCAGGGGUUAAGUUUUGCAAAACAGAGCUUGCUCAAUUAAGUAGGAUCUUAAAAAUCUGAACAUGUAGAGGGACAAGCUCCGAUUGUAGUCGGCAGAUGGCCUUUGAUUGGCUGGAUACCAUCAGUGUUCCUUCUGGGUUUCCCAACACAAACAGAAGAGGCGUGAGUCAGCGCAGGCAGCUGCCCCGAGGCUCUUAGGACUUUGUUUCCUCUUCAGCGGAAAAAGAAAAACAAGGUAUUAUAUUUGGACGUGGACACCUGGAUAGUAUUGCCAAGUACAGCCAUGGAAGAAGAGGCGAGCACACAUGCUGUUCUGCUCGACUAUGCUAUUUCUUCUGCCCUUGAAGUCAGCCUUCAGCUGACGCAUCCUUCUACAUAAGACAAGCUAAAGGAGAGAAUACACCACAGUCAAGGGCCUGGCUGUGAAGAUUUGGUGGCGUGUCCUUCGAGACACUGAGUCAACAGGCAUAAACAUUAACCUGUGUGUGUCUCUGCGAUCACCACAGUGUAUGAAGGUAGCGUCCUAGGUUUGACCUCGGCUCUGCACCAAACAGCCAGGUGGCCAUGUUUCCUAACUUGCAAAAGCAAGCUUGCACCUGGAAGGGCACGCGCUCUAUUGCUAGUCUGUAAUUGCAGGAUUAAAAAAAAUUGAA